UACGUAGGGUGCGAGCGUUGUCCGGAAUUAUUGGGCGUAAAGGGCUCGUAGGCGGUUUGUCGCGUCGGGAGUGAAAACACCGGGCUUAACUCGGUGCUUGCUUUCGAUACGGGCAGACUAGAGGCAUGCAGGGGAGAAUGGAAUUCCUGGUGUAGCGGUGAAAUGCGCAGAUAUCAGGAAGAACACCCGUGGCUAAGGCGGUUCUCUAGUACGGUACUGACGCUGAGACGCGAAAGCGUGGGGAGCGAACAGG
rnacentral:rRNA from 1 species